CUUUUUGUGCAUAAUGUAUAUAUAGGGGGGUGGUAGUACUCUUGGGGUAGACAGGCAUGUGCUGGGAUGGCAUGCCAAGGCAUGUGCUGGGAUGGCAUGCCAAGGACAAGCAUGUGCUAGGAAGGCAUGCCAAGGCCAAGCCAAGGCCAAGGCAAGCACAUGCAUUGUGAGCGAGACGAGACGGUUACGAAUACCCCAAGAGUGCCCAAGGGAGAGGAAAGAGGUGUCAAACGCAUGCUGAGCCCCACUUCGGUAGUUUGGCACCUGUACCAUAGGCAUUCAGGCAAGCGUGCCUAUGGGAAAAGUCGCUUGAGCUUGUCAGCCAUGUUGGGAAUCGGCUGGACGAGAUGAUUGCACAAGGAUGCUUGCUUUAAGGUAACGUUCCGGCAGCACAGCCAGCCCGCAAUUGCUAGUUCAAGCGGGUGGAAUCUGCCUAUAGGGGCGUUGCUUGCUUGCUGUGGAGUUGGGACACGCCCAAUAUCUAUCAUCGACCGCUUUUGUUCCUGCAUGGCCCCAUAGGUAUUUAGGCAAGCGUGCCUAUGGGAAAAGUCCCUCGAGCUUGCCAACACCCAUAGGCAUUCAGGCAAGCGUGCCUAUGGGAAAAGUCGCUUGAGCUUGUCAGCCAUGUUGGGAAUCGGCUGGACGAGAUGAUUGCACAAGGAUGCUUGCUUUAAGGUAACGUUCCGGCAGCACAGCCAGCCCGCAAUUGCUAGUUCAAGCGGGUGGAAUCUGCCUAUAGGGGCGUUGCUUGCUUGCUGUGGAGUUGGGACACGCCUAAUAUCUAUCAUCGACCGCUUUUGUUCCUGCAUGGCCCCAUAGGUAUUUAGGCAAGCGUGCCUAUGGGAAAAGUCCCUCGAGCUUGCCAACACCCAUAGGCAUUCAGGCAAGCGUGCCUAUGGGAAAAGUCGCUUGAGCUUGUCAGCCAUGUUGGGAAUCGGCUGGACGAGAUGAUUGCACAAGGAUGCUAGCUUUAAGGUAACGUUCCGGCAGCACAGCCAGCCCGCAAUUGCUAGUUCAAGCGGGUGGAAUCUGCCUAUAGGGGCGUUGCUUGCUUGCUGUGGAGUUGGGACACGCCCAAUAUCUAUCAUCGACCGCUUUUGUUCCUGCAUGGCCCCAUAGGUAUUUAGGCAAGCGUGCCUAUGGGUAAAGUCCCUCGAGCUUGCCACCACCCAUGGCAUUCAGGCAAGCGUGUCUAUGGGAAAAGUCGCUUGAGCUUGUCAACCAUGUUGGGUAUCGGCUGGACGAGAUGAUAGCACAAGGAUGCUUGCUUUAAGGUAACGUUCUGGCAGCACAGCCAGCCCGCAAUUGCUAGUUCAAGCGGGUGGAAUCUGCCUAUAGGGGUGUUGCUUGCUUGCUGUGGAUWKGGGACAUGCCSAAUAUCUAUCAUUGACCUAAUGAAGUGUUCAACAUGGGUUGCUGAGGGCUAUUUUGGCACUGAUGAUUCACUUGUUUGCAUGGCUUUGAUAAACGUUUAGAUGUCAUGAUGCUUGGGAUCCAAUAAAUUUAUGUGGGAAGUUGAGAGCUGGAACCCAAUGGCAUUCACCAGACGGCUUAGCUUCGUCAGUGUGUAUAAUAUGUCAUUGAACCCCAAUCCUUGAUGCCAACCUGAUUAUGACCUUUGGAUCGUAAUUAUCAUGGGUAUCGAAAACUGAGUAGGAGUCAUUGAAUAAGUGAGAACAAUUUGUAGCCUUUGUAGCUGUCAGCUUUCGCAUCGCCCGGUGUGUUUUGGGAAUCGCUUUGUGCAUUUGGUUGCCUGCCGUGCCUCUUGGCAUACGUUGGGUGCCACUUGCCGGGUGGUUUUCGGAAACAUCCACCGUAAAGGUGCAUGAGUGGUGUUUGGUUUGUUACGGGUGGUUGGCUCUUUGCUUGCGCAACAACUGCCACCCGACUUACCUCUUCAGUUGUUUGCCUAGGCUUGUAUAGCCUAAGCAGAUUGUGGGUUUCCUGUGUUGCCUACCUACGUCACGGAAUUGUCCCGAUUGAUCAAAGUUGCUUUCGUCUUGUGUCGUCUCGAUGGCAUAAGAUGAACAAUGAAGCCGUCUCUUUGCACCGCAUCGUUAAUGCAUGCGUUGAUGUUGUGGCCCAUUGAGCAUUGCUUGGUACCUUGGAUACGGAACCUUAUGUGGGCAUGGGUCCUUGGGGAUCCUUGUUCUGCCUUUGUUUAGCGUUCGCGCUUCUCUUAGAAUGACUGCCCAGCCGGAAUGGUAAGCCAUUGUGGAUGGGCAUCGUCAAAGAGGAAUGC
rnacentral:misc_RNA from 1 species